rnacentral:tRNA from 1 species
UCCCGUGUGGCUCAGUUGGUAGAGCAUGGUGUUUGCAACGCCAGGGUUGUGGGUUCGAUUCCCACAAGGGAC